rnacentral:lncRNA from 1 species
AUGAGAAUGCAGCGAAACUUUUGCUUAAUAACCACGCCGACCCCAGGAAUUCUCUCACGCAGAGGUAAGAACAUUAAAAAAGAAAGGAAGUACAGAGGGUGUGUAACAAUGGAAGAUUGCAUGGAAAGUUCUCCUUUGCUGUUAGUACAUCUUAGGAAAACAUUCAGCUGGAACAUAACCAGGCCCAGAGCUGCUGAAAUGACUUGCAGUCCCAGAGCUGCUAGAGUGAAUUAG